GCGACUAUUGCUCUUCCCUUCAAUGUUUUCAGAAUUCAGUUUCUUCCCAAACCCUUAAAUAUCCAUUUUCUUCGUUCUCAUUCAAAUUCUUUGUUCUAAUUCAUCCGGUCAUCCCCUUACGUUCGAUGUCUUCAUCUUCGUUAUUUCAAGCAGGACAAUUGGAGAAUAGGUCUGUGAAUUGGAAAUAAGAAGAGUUGGCAAUUUGCAUUUCAGAAUUAGCGAGAAGAACAAGUUUCGAAAUUAUCGAGAAGAGCAAGAUCUUGGUAGCUGAGCUAGCAGUUGUGGCUUGAUUGGUGUGCAUAUUCUUUGGUUCAAUCAGGUAUUACUAUUGACAUGCACCACAAAAAUUUAAAACUCGCAUAUUAUUAUAUAUAAGUCCAACUUUCCUAGAUUUUGAGUUUGUACGAGUUGGUAACCCUGAUAUCCGUGUGUGACACUGAUACUUCAUACACGAGUCCCUGUAACUUUUGACAUGUUUCCUUGUUGCUCGUUCUCCAUCUUUAGUUUUUCAUUUUACGUAGAACAUGUUCUUUUUAGUAGUAUUGUGAUAAUAGACUAGUCCUCGGUCGAUUAAUAAUCUAAUGUUAACAGUGCCAUAACUCUGAUUGGAUCUACCAGGUACUUGUUUCCAUCUUCUUUUCCUUUUGCAACAAGAUUCAAAUGCCAUUUCUGUUCUUUUGUUCCAGGGGCGUCUUAAUGUUUUUUUUGUUGACAAUAGAUAUAUCAUUAUCCCAUUAUUGUCUCUUCUUUUCCCUCAGUCCUCGGUGUUUUCUUUUCUAGACUCUUUACCUGGUAUAUAAGACUUGUUGUAGGUUCCUUUGAGAGUGUAGAAGGAUCUGAUGAUGAAGAUGCCUUCACAUAGAAUUCUAAACUGGAUCCCACAUAUCUUCACUCUAAUGGAAAUGAUGUAAGUUGUUUCCGUAAUAUUUAUUAAUAGUUGCUUCUUGGUCUAUCGCGUGUAAAUUAUUUGUGCGUGGAGACUAGAGAAGGUAAUGUAUUGUCUUGAGCGUCAGUUUAUCUAGUUAUGCUUUCUCACUCGGCUUUUAUGUUCCUUUUAACUGCUAAAACAAGAAAUAAAAGGAAAAAGAAGAGGGAAAAGGUCGUGCAGACAAGGACGACUAUUGUAUCUAAAUUUGAUCUUCUUAAGCAGGGUUCAUAACUGACGAGCCAAUAUCAAGAUUUACCAGGGAACACUAACAAUGGAGAUCAAGUUCCUAUAACUUAUCCGAGUAUAUCCCAUAGCUGCUGAUAUUCCGAGGAAGGAGCCAGAGCAAGAACAUUUGCUAAAAAUUAUCUCCAAGUGGAUGGUGCAUAUGAUCAAGAACUAAAAGCUACUUUGAAUAUGUGAAGAUUUAAAUGGCUUCUGGUACAUACAUAUUCGAUAUGUUUUAAAAAUAGAGCUAUUGGACCGUGAUUGUAGGAG